GACGAACGCUGGCGGCGUGCUUAACACAUGCAAGUCGAACGGAAAGGCCCUGCUUUUGUGGGGUGCUCGAUUGGCGAACGGGUGAGUAACACGUGAGUAACCUGCCCUUGACUUUGGGAUAACUUCAGGAAACUGCGGCUAAUACCGGAUAGGAGCUCCUGCUGCAUGGUGGGGGUUGGAAAGUGUCGGCGGUUGGGGAUGGACUCGCGGCUUAUCCGCUUGUUGGUGGGGUAGUGGCUUACCAAGGCUUUGACGGGUAGCCGGCCUGAGAGGGUGACCGGCGACAUUGGGACUGAGAUACGGACCAGACUCGUACGGGAGGCAGCAGUGGGGAAUCUUGCACAAUGGGCGGAAGCCUGAUGCAGCAACGCUGCGUGCGGGAUGACGGCUUUCGGGUUGUAAACCGCUUUCGCCUGUGACGAAGCGGGAGUGACGGUAAUGGGUAAAGAAGCACCGGCUAACUACGUG
rnacentral:rRNA from 1 species